UACGUAGGGUGCAAGCGUUGUCCGGAAUUAUUGGGCGUAAAGAGCUCGUAGGCGGUCUGUCGCGUCUGCUGUGAAAUCCCAGGGCUUAACCCUGGGCCUGCAGUGGGUACGGGCAGACUAGAGUGCGGUAGGGGAGAUCGGAAUUCCUGGUGUAGCGGUGAAAUGCGCAGAUAUCAGGAGGAACACCGGUGGCGAAGGCGGGUCUCUGGGCCGAUACUGACGCUGAGGAGCGAAAGCGUGGGGAGCGAACAGG
rnacentral:rRNA from 1 species